AUACAUAUAUAUCUUGUGAGAUUUAUGUUAUUGCUUUGGUGCAGUUUCUGUGUUGUAGUUUUCAGUAAUAUGUACAUUUAAAUUAGGAUCUUUGUGCUAGAGUAUUAACAAAUUGUUGUCAAAAUUUUAAUAAUGUCAUCUAGGAGCAAAAAAUUGCUUACGUUAGCUUUAAAUUCAAAAUUAAAAGAUGAUAUCUGUCAUUUCAAAAGUAAUAAUUACCAGAGGAAACUAUCCAAAGUUGAACUUGACCCAGGCUACAUUACGAAUCUUCCGAAACAUCUGAUGACGAUAUAUAUUGUUAUGACAUAAAUAAGCCUGGAACUUCUUAUUCAUACAAAAAGAAAAUUGUAGUCAUAGAUGACAUUCCAUUGACUAAUAAGGAAUGUACAAAUAUACAAAUAGAUUGCUUGUCAAACUGCCAUGACCCAAAUAGAGCUGGACCUUCGUCUACAAAUAAAAUCGUGAUCUUAAGUAACAUUCUUUUAAAUCAGGGAUGUAAAAAUUUUGGAAUGCAAUUAUGCGAAGCAAUUGAUGAUACAAUUUUUAUACGAGGAAUUGUUACAAACAUAUUUGACAACGCGAUGAAGCAGACAAGCCAAAAUAGCACCGAAAAUUUGUGAAAGGCAUUAUACUUGAUGUCCUAGAUAAUUUAAUACAAAUGGUAGUGUUUACAAAAAAAAAGGUGAAGUUAGAAAACGUAAAAGGUAUUUUGAACUAACUAAAACUGAAAGGAAAGAAUCCAAGGCAAAGAAAAGAAAAAUCGAGCAUUUAAUAAAAGAAGCAUGCGGUGAAUCCUGUGUAAAAAAAUGCUCAAAAAAAAAUAGAAAAUGCGGAACGUAUACAGUUAUACGAAGAAUAUUGGAAACUAUCUGCAGAGAAUCAAAGGACUUUUGUAUUCAGUUGCCUUACCAAUAGAGCCACGAAAAGAAAAUAGUCGGUGAACGACCCUCCAGAAGAAGCAAAACCCUAAAUUAUUUUUUCACAGAUAAAGCGAGCAAUAAACAAGAAGUGUGAAAAAAGUUUUUUCUUUUUACUCUGAGUUAUAAUGCAAAUAAUGAUAAAAUAAUACGAAAUUUUUUAAGCCUUAUUGCAAAACCAGACGGCCGGACAUCAAAUUGUGAAAAAACAAAAAUUGAUCGAAAUAUUAUUAUUGAGCAUAUAAAAACAUUCAAACCAUCCAUUUCACACUACCGAAGGGAGCAUACUCCCAACCGCCUGUAUCUCCCAAGUGAUAUUACUGUUAAGCUUAAGUAUGACGAUUUUAUGAAUAAAUUUUCCAAUGCUUCCUUUUCAUAUUACUUAUACAGACAUGUGGUUGCCAGUCAAAAUAUAUCAUUUAGUAAAUUGGGCCAUGAAGAGUGCGAACUUUUUAAAAAACAUGAUAGUGCUCAUAAGAGAAAAAACCUGGAUCCCUUAUGCAAAAAUUGCAAUGAUUGGGAAAAACAUCAUCAAAAAUAUAAGAAUGCCCGCAGAAUGUACCAAAUAGAUGCAAAUGCAACACAAACUACAUUCGAAAUCGCUAUCUUCGCCGAUCUCCAGAAAGUAAUCAUGUUACCUAGAUGUGAUACUUUUAAGGAAAUCAUUUUUAUGCCAAGACUCGUGGCAGACAACGAAAGUUUCGUUCCGGCUGGCAAAUUAGGCAAAAUGUCCCCAUACGCCGUUUUGUGGCAUGAUGCUAUGCAAGGGAGGUCAAAAGAAAAUAUCAUUAGCAGUUUUUAUCAAUACUUCCUAUCCAUGAGAGAUACGAAGUGUGUAAUUACGAUAAACAAAGCAAGAUAUGUACAAAAUUUAAGGAACAAAAAAGUUAAAUUUUUAAUUGUUUAGAAAAAAAAUUAAUACUCUGUAUCUCGAAAAUGAAGCCUCUGCAGAAAUAUGUUAUAUCAACUUUUUAAUUUAUAAACUUACAAGGAAUCACCCUUUAAAAUUAAAGUCAUCACUUAUGCUAUACCCUGUAUAAACAUUUUCUAACCUCUUAAAAUAUUCUUGGAAAGUGAUAGCACAUAUCUGAAAAAUAUUUUGCAGAAAUAUGAGUGCCAUUGGUUUUAUUUAAUUUUUGGUGCCACCUUAGGCUACUAUAAGCACCAAAUAUGGCUACUAAUUAUUUUUUUUACAAGAAAAAAAAAUAAAAAUCACUACUAUCACUUAAUUUCACAUAAGAAAUGUUAAUUUAAUGUCAAUAUAAGGUUAAAUUGAGAUUCUAAAACAAUGGAGAUUACUUUGCCUUAAAUGGUUUCGUUCUAUGAUAUACAGGGUGUUCGAGGUUCAUUCAAAUUUUACAAAUUUCAAAGCUUCAUUUCUCGCUUUUUUUAAAUGGAACACCCUGCUUAUUUUUUUAUGCAUUUAAUAAAGAAUUAAAAAAUGGACAUGUAUGUUAUAUUAUUUGUAGUUAUAAUAUUUUUAGAAGAACCAGGAA